CAUGUGUCUAAUUUUGGUUAGGACAAUGUGCUUUCAUCCAUGAACACUUGAGUAGCAUUGCUUUUUUUCCUCUGCAGCAAUGGGAACAGCAGUAGCUGGAGCAGUUUGGGCUUGGAGGGAGAGGCAUGUGAGGAGCGCCUGUCUUCCCCCUCAGACAGCAGUGACCACUUGGAGGACAAGGAGACGGAGAUGAAAGAAGAAUCUAGCGCGACCGUUCGUAUAGACAGGACAGAGGUGCAGGCUCCCAGGAAUGUGCUGGUUAUCCUGAACUCUGAGGUACCGGAGCGUGGGCGUGGCCAUUUCAACAUCACCCUUGACCCUCAGCUUAGGAGCAUGCUGCAGUGGGUUGCGCCUCCAUGGCAGACGUAACCCAGAUCCAGCUCAGUCCUGACAGAGAGCUGCAUCAGCUGCCAGCAGUGGUCCAGAAGCUGCGUGAGAAAAGGUGGCGGGUGGGAGAGCUGCUCCACACACUGCUGCGCUACUGUGAGGAGAGCCAGGCCCAGAGCCAGCCCCAACCCAGAGAGGAGAGUUUCCACGCGGGUAGAGAAUCCACCCGCACCCCCCUGUUCCAGUGGCUCCUGGAUCAUGCCUAGGGUCCAUUCUUUUCUCGGCUUUCCUCUUACUUUUCAAAUAGGGCUUUGCAAAUUCCAUUACUGGCUCUAGAGGGCAGCAUACAAAUGUGUGUGAUAGUAUUUUACGUCGCAUGUUUUGCCACAGAUUUCUAUAUUCCUACUUUCUGGGUUCUUUUUAAUUAUUAUUAUUUAUUAAGCUGUUACCUGUUUUGGUUUGAUGAACUCACCCAACAUAUAAUGCAUUUGUAUUGAACCCUCACUUCUAAUGCAACAGAAAGAGUUGGGGAGAAAAACAGGGACCCAGCCCUUAAGUCUCUCUAACUGAGAUGCAGGGACUGAAGAAGUAUGUUUUUGUUAGGGAAUCCCCAUUGCUGUGGGGGCCGAUGAUGUCACCCACCACAGCUCACCUUUGUGGUGGUGUUUCCACAUGUUAUGAGGCCUACAGUGCAAUCACUUACACACCACACCCUUUCAUUAUCACCGAUAAAACAAGCCCCAUACGUCUGACAAUAAUAUCGGUUACCCCCAUCGUUUGCCAUUGAUGUAGUAUUCUUUUUACUUUCCCAGCAAAUCAUUAUUUGCCUCUUUAGUUUUCUGUAAUUUGCAUAUUGUUGUGAAAUGCUGAACGCUCUGACACUAAAUAUAUUCUGAGACUGGCACAAGAAGUACAGUGGCCUUGUGAUCCUUGUAAACAAUUGUAGUAUGUUCACUGUAAUCUACUCAACGUUUGUGAUUGUUCUGUGACCAGUCAUGGGUUAUUUUGUCACUUUAAAACCUAGAAGUCGAUUUGUUGCUUUUGUAAUUAUAUUGAUUAUCACAUAUUUCAUCCAUCAAAUGAAUGAAGAAAAAUCAUUAUGAAGUUGCCUAUUGUUAAUGUGCAAAUCUCUACUGUGCAAUUGCUUGCCUAGCAACAAUCUUGUUUUUGAAACUUAGUAAAAAAAAACAUGGAGCAAGUGGUGUUUGGUAGUGCUAUCUAAAAAUGUUUUUUUUAUAUAUAUAUAUAUAUAUAUAAUAUAUAUAUAAUGAAGGUAUAUAGAAACAAACUUAAAUGCUGCUGAGUUGAGAAAGAAGCCAUGAUAUAGGCUUAGAGUUGCCAAAUGUUACUUCUGACGUGACUCUUCUCCUUUUCCGGUGACUACAGUGUGUAAAGUACGUGUAUGUAUGUGUCAGUGGACUGUAUUGGGAUGAUCCAGUGACGCAGGACAGUGUGUUUUAUCUAAUUAAAAACAGUGAUCUGCUGCUCUGAAACCACACUUUAACGAACAUGUGCAUAGUUCUACGCUGGGCUCACAGGUCACCCACGCUUCUCUGUGCAAUGAAGGAAUGCACAAACCCCACAACAACUGUUACUCACCCACCCCUACGCACUCCUAACUACGAAGAAGCACUUUUCUCUUUUCAAGCAGUGCCCAGCUGUCCUUAGACAUCCCUUGAUAAUCCUUUGUGAAGGUGUAAAUGCCAUCCCCAGGGGCUCCCAGACUUUUCAGUUCACGACCUCCAAAAUUAAUUACAAACAACCGGGACCCCCGCAGUCAAAAAAGUAAAUAAAAAUAUAGACAAUAUCAAGCAAAAAAAGAAUAAUAUGCAUUUACAUUGUUUACUUUUUGUCUUGAAAUCAUCUUGGGACCAUCAGCCCUGUGCUCGUGAACCCCACUUUGGGAACCACUGCUCUAGAGACCCAAACUUUAUUGUUUAUGUAUGGUUUUAUUUUGGGACCUUGCUAUAUCAUUGAUGCACACAGCCAAAUUCAGGAAGUAGCUUUGCAGUUUUUGAAAACUGUAGUAUACCACAGCCUCAUGUAUUAUUAUACAUUUUUGUUGACAGUGUUGACUUGGAUGGCAGUAUCAUCAGUGAAUAUUUCAAAUCAAAUUAUUCGUUUUAUUGUAUUGGGCGACACAGUAAUUGAGCUGCAGUGAUUAUGUCCAUGUUCACUACCCACAAUGUCCACACUAUUUGCCACUGGAUAUAAUUCAGUAACGUGUUGAAUCCAAUCAGAAUGCCUAUCAAAUGAAGAGAGAAAACAUAUAAGGGUCCACCAAGAUUUUUUUCUUCCUUGGACCAGGAAUUUCCUGUCAUAUCUCUGAUCGUAUUAGUAAUAUUAUGAGUAACCGGAGCUUGCUCUUAACUUUAUUUGCUCAUUGGUCAUUGUGGCUAGUUUUUAGGCUUUGCAUUUGCUACAAUUCGUCUUUUAAAACUUUUUUGGCUAAAUUUGUUCUGGAAUUCAGGCCCAUCUCCAAACUGUGUCACUGACCAAAAUGAAAAUCUAUCUGCGUUGGCUUGUUGGUUGUAGAGUUAAUGUUUAGCUCUGGUUACUAUACGAGAUGUCAAAAUUAGGCCUUUACAUUGCUGCUCUUUCUUUCCCAGACAUGAGCACUGGUGGAAGCAUGUCUGUCACCCGGAAUAUUAGCAGACCUUUCACAAUUUUACCGCAUCAACAUUAAUCUUUUAUCAAGUGUUUUCUUAAAGUACGAGUUGGACGUUAAGUCAAAUUUUGUGUCAAGUAGUUUUAAUAAACUUCUGCUUCCAGUGAAAAAGGUAUUCCGAAUGACAUGCCAAAAUAAAUGAGUUU
ensembl:lncRNA